CAGUAGAAAACGGAUGAACAAACCUAGAUUUCUUCCUGCGUGAAUCCAGUUGAGGAGAAGGUAUAAAAUUUUCAAAUGGAGGAGUGUACCUGAACCUAAUCAUGGAUGUGAUUUUAUGUAAGUAAUAUGUGAGAUACAGAUAAGCUGAUUCUAAAACUUACAAGAAUGGCAAAGAAACAAGAAGAGCUUAACUGCAAUCAUCGACACAGAAGCCUUCUGUGACCAAAGUGAAGACUGAAGCCCUAGGCUAUGGCAGAAGUUGGGCGCCUGAAGUACACGUGGAAAUAUGCCAACUGAACAUUGGACUACCACUAACUUGGAUUCUUCCAUCUUUUGAAGUGGAAACUGUCCUAACCCCAUAACCUCGACAUCACUAGACAGGGUCUUGCUUUGUUGCCCUGGUCUUGAACUCCUG
rnacentral:lncRNA from 1 species